CCAACGGGGAUUGCCUUAGUACGGCGAGUGAAGCGGCAAAAGCUCAAAUUUGAAAUCUGGUACCUUCGGUGCCCGAGUUGUAAUUUGGAGAGGGCAACUUUGGGGCCGUUCCUUGUCUAUGUUCCUUGGAACAGGACGUCAUAGAGGGUGAGAAUCCCGUGUGGCGAGGAGUGCGGUUCUUUGUAAAGUGCCUUCGAAGAGUCGAGUUGUUUGGGAAUGCAGCUCUAAGUGGGUGGUAAAUUCCAUCUAAAGCUAAAUAUUGGCGAGAGACCGAUAGCGAACAAGUACAGUGAUGGAAAGAUGAAAAGAACUUUGAAAAGAGAGUGAAAAAGUACGUGAAAUUGUUGAAAGGGAAGGGCAUUUGAUCAGACAUGGUGUUUUGUGCCCUCUGCUCCUUGUGGGUAGGGGAAUCUCGCAUUUCACUGGGCCAGCAUCAGUUUUGGUGGCAGGAUAAAUCCAUAGGAAUGUAGCUUGCCUCGGUAAGUAUUAUAGCCUGUGGGAAUACUGCCAGCUGGGACUGAGGACUGCGACGUAAGUCAAGGAUGCUGGCAUAAUGGUUAUAUGCCGCCCGUCUUAAAACCCCGACCACAAAACCCAAAAAGAUCGCCGGCUACUUGAGAUAUCUAAGCCGAACAGCGAUGUCACGGGCUUUGACGUAGGCCAUGCCGUUAAGACCA
rnacentral:rRNA from 1 species